rnacentral:tRNA from 1 species
UCCCUAGUAGCUCAGUUGGUAAAGAAUCUGCCUGCAAUGCAGGAGACCUGGGUUCGACCCCUGGGUUGGGAU